GACGAACGCUGGCGGCGUGCUUAACACAUGCAAGUCGAACGGAAAGGCCCUGCUUUUGUGGGGUGCUCGAGUGGCGAACGGGUGAGUAACACGUGAGUAACCUGCCCUUUACUUUGGUAUAACUUCAGGAAACUGGGGCUAAUACCGGAUAGGAGCUCCUGCUGCAUGGUGGGGGUUGGAAAGUUUCGGCGGUUGGGGAUGGACUCGCGGCUUAUCAGCUUGUUGGUGGGGUAGUGGCUUACCAAGGCUUUGACGGGUAGCCGGCCUGUGAGGGUGACCGGCCAAAAUGGGACUGAGAUACGGCCCAGACUGCAACGGGAGGCAGCAGUGGGGAAUAUUGCAAAAUGGGCGGAAGCCUGAUGCAGCAACGCCGCGUGCGGGAUGACGGCCUUCGGGUUGUAAACCGAUUUCGCCUGUGACGAAGAGUGAGUGACGGUAAUGGGUAAAGAAGCACCGGCUAACUACGUG
rnacentral:rRNA from 1 species